CAAAAUCAUUAAUCUUCUACAUAGUCUGAUAAGUAGGCAGGUUUUUUCCUGUGCCUCCGCCUACUUAACAUAUCAGAUUCAACAACAGAUGCAUCCAUUUCAUGGACAUGAAGAUCCCCAUUGAUAUUCUUCUCACAAAUGUCGGUUAGAGCUUUAUUCUCUGAAGAAGUCGAAUUACUGACUGUGUGAGACACCAGAGGAUCUGGCGCACCCACAAUAG
rnacentral:lncRNA from 1 species